CGUAACCCGUACCGUACGGUACGGUACGGNNNNNNNNNNNNNNNNNNNNUGUGCCCAGAUGGGCAAGGAGGCCAAUAGCACGUGAGCUGUACCAGCCACAGCGUGGCCAGUGGAACCAGGGCAGUGACCGCCCAGCUGUGGUGAGACACCUCUAGUCCUGGGGUCAGUUCUUGGUGCUUCUCUACGAAAAAGACAUUGUGGGGCAGGAAUAUGUCUAGAAAAGAGAAUGGAACUGUGGAAGGGUCUGGAGCACAAGAAACAGCUGAGGGAACUGGGAGGACUCAGCCUCGAGAAUAGGAGGCUCAAGGGGACUUUCUUGCUUUCCACAACCCUCUGGUAGGAGGAUGCAGUCAUGUGAGGGUUAGGCUCUGCUCCCAGGGAACAAAGGACAGGACAAGAGGGACUGGCCUCAAGUCGUUGCAAGAGGUUGGACAUCAGUAAGAAUCUCUGGAAAGGCUCAUCCAGCCCUGGCACAGAUUGUCCAGAGUAGUGGUGGAGUUCCUAUCCCUGAAAGGGUUUAAAAGCCGUGUAGAUGUGGCACCUGGGGGCAUAGUUUAGUGGUGGCCUUGGCAGUGAUGGGUGAGCAAUUGGUUUUAAUCCUCAGGGUCUUUUCCACUAAUUCCAUGAUGGCAACAGUUAGGUCUGUGCUUGUUUACAAGGUUUGAUCAGCUGAACACUGCCUUUGGGAGGUUUACAGGACAUCCUUCAAUGUUCUGACUGUGCAUGAGCAGAAGUCAUGCUUUCUGUGGCAGAAGAUGAGCAAGUGUGUCCCAGCUGUGGUUUUGCUUUAAAAACCCCUGCAAUUCAUCUGAAGACACCUUUUUUUGGAGGCCAGGGAUGGGCAGUGGUACAAGAUGAAUGAUGCCUCAAGACAUCUCUCUGCCAAAAUACAUAUUUGCUUUUCUAUGCCAGGAGAGAAGACCGUUUGUCCAGAAAAUGACAGGCCUGAAGCCACAAGGAGACUGCAAGAAAUCAAGGAGGUGGAGAAAGUCCAGGCACACUGAGGAGGGGGAGAACUUGAAUAGAAGCCAGCCAGGCAUUCCAUGUCCCAGGAAGUGCAGGGGACCCUCACCACCAGCUGGGACAUGGCCAUGGGAACUUUCUUCAUUCAUCCUCAAGAGAGGAGGACUAAAAAGUAGCAACAUUUGCAACAUUGCAGCAGUUGCCUCACUCUUUGCCAAUGAUUUCGAGUGCAUAUGGCUUCUGUACAGACCUGUUCAGUACUGGUCACCAAGCUUCCCAGCAUAACCUGCCAGUGACCAUCAAAGGCUGUAGAUAUCUCAGAAGAAUGUUGACCUUUUUAAACCUGACAUUUAUGAUUGAAACAAUAAAACCAUCAAACCAAACCCA
rnacentral:lncRNA from 1 species